UACAGAGGUUGCGAGCGUUGUCCGGAAUCACUGGGCGUAAAGGGCGCGUAGGUGGCCCGACAAGUCUGUGGUGAAAGCUCGACGCUCAACGUCGAGUCGGCCAUAGAUACUGUUGGGCUGGAGCACUGUAGAGGCUCAUGGAAUUCCCGGUGUAGCGGUGAAAUGCGUAGAUAUCGCCUGGAACGCCGAAGGUGAAAACAGUCUGCUGGGGGUGUGCCGACGCUGAGACACGAAAGCCAGGGGAGCGAACGGG
rnacentral:rRNA from 1 species